rnacentral:rRNA from 1 species
ACGCGAAAGGCCCCUUCGGGGGCCGAGUAGAGUGGCGUCCGGGUGAGUAACACGUGAGUAAUUUGCCUUCGGGUGGGGAAUAACAACCGGAAACGGUUGCUAAUACCGCAUAAUGCAGCGGCACCACAUGGUGACAGUUGUUAAAGCGGGGGAUUCGCAAGAACCUCGUGCCUGAAGAGAAGCUCGCGGCGGAUUAGCUAGUUGGUAGGGUAACGGCCUACCAAGGCAACGAUCCGUAGCCGGCCUGAGAGGGCGGUCGGCCACACUGACACUGACACACGGGUCAGACUCCUACGGGAGGCAGCAGUCGGGAAUUUUGGGCAAUGGGCGAAAGCCCGACCCAGCAACGCCGCGUGAAGGAUGAAGUUUUUCGGAAUGUAAACUUCACAAGAAUGGGAAGAAUAAGGAGGGGUUAAUACCCCCUUCGAUGACGGUACCAUUUGUAAGCUCCGGCUAACUCCGUGCCAACAGCCGCGGUAAUACGGGGGGAGCAAGCGUUGUUCGGAUUUACUGGGCGUAAAGGGCGCGUAGGCGGCGCAACAAGUCACUUGUGAAAUCUCCGGGCUUAACUCGGAGCGGCCAAGUGAUACUGUCGUGCUAGAGUGCGGAAGGGGCAACUGGAAUUCUCGGUGUAGCGGUGAAAUGCGUAGAUAUCGAGAGGAACACCUGCGGCGAAGGCGGGUUGCUGGGCCGACACUGACGCUGAGGCG